rnacentral:misc_RNA from 1 species
GUAUUUCGUUUACACACCUCUUGCGGGGCACAAUUUCUUUUAUGCUUUGAUACCGCAAGCAUUCAAAUUAGAUUUUAUAUAUCGUUUUCUAUUAGACUGCUCUUCAUUGUUAUGGUUUAGUUGUUCUUUUGAGAAAGACAAAGAACUUGUUUUUCUUGUGCGUAACACGUUUCUCGCGCCUGCGCACUCCGCGUCUUCUCGUCGACGGCCUUCCGCCAUACUGUGCAAACGUGUGGGAAUCGGUCUUCCAAGCCGGCAAAUUGCUUUGGUCAAGACUGGAGAUCAGAUCGUGAAACAAUACUGGCAAGGGUGGCCACCCCAGGGAGGACGUAAGGCAGGAGCUAAGUGUCUGCAGUGCCCAACCUGCUGCUGCUCUCCACUGCAAUUUUGAAUCUUCUUGGCGCCACACACAAGCUGCACAUAGCCUCGAGCGUUGCAUUAGGAAUCUGUGCGACUGUACAUCAUCCUUGGCGCGUGUGAAGGAAUAGAUUUUUUUCGGUCCGUCUGAAGAUGUGGGGACAAGCAGUGGUUCAAACGCGGUGGAUCACUUAUGGCCGUCGUUCAUUGGACCUAAAUAAAGCCAAAUUACCGAUGCACCGUA